GCCUCGGUAGCUCAGCAUGGUAGAGCGUCUGCAUGGUAAGCAGAAGGCCGAGGGUUCAAAUCCCUCUCGAGGCU
rnacentral:tRNA from 4 species